CAGUAGCGGCGAGUGAAGCGGCAAGAGCUCAGAUUUGAAAUCGUGUUUCGGCACGAGUUGUAGAGUGUAGGCGGGAGUCUCUGUGGAGCGCGGUGUCCAAGUCCCUUGGAACAGGGUGCCUGAGAGGGUGAGAGCCCCGUAGGGUGCUGCGCGAAGCUUUUGAGGCCCUGCUGACGAGUCGAGUUGUUUGGGAAUGCAGCUCCAAGCGGGUGGUAAAUUCCAUCUAAGGCUAAAUAUUGGCGAGAGACCGAUAGCGAACAAGUACUGUGAAGGAAAGAUGAAAAGCACUUUGAAAAGAGAGUGAAACAGCACGUGAAAUUGUUGAAAGGGAAGGGUAUUGGGCUCGACAUGGGGGGUGCGCACCGCUGUCUCUUGUAGGCGGCGCUCUGGGCGCCCUCUGGGCCAGCAUCGGUUCCUGCUGCGGGAGAAGGGGCUCCGGAAAGUGGCUCUUCGGAGUGUUAUAGCCGGGGCCAGAUGCCGCGUGUGGGGACCGAGGACUGCGGC
rnacentral:rRNA from 1 species